rnacentral:rRNA from 1 species
GCGAGUGAUCAAGCGUCAAAAGGGCAUUGGUGGAUGCCUUGGUGCCAAG